UUCGGGUGCUUUUCCAGCCCCCAAAGAAUGAAGCAGAGCGCGCUCCCCGCACCGUAUUCCCUCUUAGAAUCAGCCGCCGUGUGAGGGACGCCACAGUGGGUGGAGAACAUCAUGCAUCGCUGAUUCCUCUGGAGAAGCUGGGGUGAGAAUGUGUGUGUUUUGCAAAUGCGAACUUGCCCUUCACAGGAUGUCGCUGUGCUUUCAGAGCCCACUAGGUGGUGCGUGAGCUGCGGCGAUGGUGACCAGCUGUGCUGGACCAGUCACCGCCCGCCUCCCAGGACCCCCCUCAGGCCAGAGGCCCCCAGCUCACAAGCCGGCCCUGAAUCAUCCCUGUUCCUGGGCCCGUCUCCACGUUCUUCCUCUGGGAAAGCAGGGCCCAGGCUUCUGCUCCCUCUUCAAUACAGCACACAUGAACACUUUGGGAGUGUCGCCUUAAAAAUAAAAAACACAACGUGAGAGUUGAGAGUUAAGUUUUACUUGGGACAGAAUGAGGACUAGAACCUGGGUGGCAGCAUUCAGAGAGACCCGAGAAACUACUCCAAAAAACUGGGACCUCAGUGAGUCCGGACACCAGGCCAAGUGUGGAAAAGAAAGGAAGAAGCAAGAGAGGAGGCAUCCGUUGAUGAACUUCAGAUGCCAAGAUAAAGGAGACUUGCUUUUCGACGAGAUGACACUGGCCCUGCUGGUCGGGCUUCCGGGGAGAGGAGGUCUGAACUGCUCGGCUGCUGUCUACUGGCUGAUAAUGGGAUGAAAACAACACACAUCAAACAGUGAGCGGGGCUGUUAACAAGGUAGCCCUUCCUGGGAUCCUGGCGCCUUCAUCCAGUCAGGCCGGUGCCUUGAGCACCCACCCAAAAGUGGCGAGGGGAGUUCCUUGGGACCCUUCAAGUCCUAGCGUGUGGGUGAGAGCCCCCGGCUCCGGGAACGGCAAGCGGCAGGUAAGUCUUCCUGGAAGGCGCCGUCCCCCUCUCCGGGCUGGCUCUGCAGCCUUUCCCUCGGAGUCGCAGUCUAGGAAGCAGGCUCCUCGCUAAGUAUUUGGCAUUUGAUCCUCAGAACGGUCAUCUUGCCGGAACUCGGCCUCUGUUCGCUGGUGCUCAAUAGAAACGCGGAGACGGAGCUUUGGAUGAAGUAGAGAAGGCAGGCCUGAUUGCUUUGCCAGGAAGGGGGGGCCACAGCGGGCCAGGGCCCUCGGAACUUUUGGGGGGGCGGUGAGGAGUCUCACAGUGUCAAGGAGCAGAGCAUGGCCAGCUCGUGGGCGUUCUUCUGAUGGGUGGGUGGUGAGGUCACGGGGAGUCCGCGCCGUCACCCCUCUGGUUCCAGUUGGUCUGGGGUCUCCGUGCUUGUGGGCAGCACAUGGUUGGCUUCCUCCCCGUGGCGGGGGUGAACCGCUCCGAGGACAUGGCUCAGAAUAGUAUCUCUGGUCUUUGAGAAAGAAUGUAAGGUCCUUGACUUUGUUGAGUGGCUAAAGUAUUAUUUUGUCUUGCUGGACUGCUUUUCCUUUCGCUUUGCAUUUUCUCACGUCUCUGAUUAAGUUUGAUUUUUUGGACUAAAGUUUUUCUACAGACCAAAGGCAGGCAGAGGACCUGGGGGCGGGGGCGGGAUCUGUUCUGGGAAGGCCCCAUAGCGUCCGGCUCGGUUACCCUAAAGAGAGGUAUUUUUUCCCCAUUUGACAGUUGGGAGAAGGGAACCCCAACAGCAAAAAUGUCUCAGGAGGACUCAGGCCUCCUGAAACAGCAUGGCCCCUGCUGCCCCUGUGGCUUUUCUGAAGAUGCAGCCCAGUUGAGUCUGAUUUGCUGAUUAUUGCAGACCUCUGGGCAUGAAGCUCUGAAAUCGAGAAGCGGGUGUGGCUGGUGAUGAACAGGUAAACCGCACAGUCAGCUCAGCUCAUGGAGAGUCCAGUGUCUGUUGUUGUUGCUGUCAUCCUCUGGGGAAGCCAGUUUUUAGUGCUCAAAGUUUAGUAAAACAAUUUCCUACACUCGUUUAAUCAUUUCCACUUUACAAACAAACUGAGGUUUCAGCAUACCAGGGGACUUGUCCUGGCUGAUUCUGCAGGUUACGGGGAGCCAGGACUUCUGACCCAAGUCUGGAGGGAUGCUUCUCUGGCUUGGAGGAUCAAUGAAAAAUCAAAUCUGAGUUGUUCCACUGAGGUGAUGGAGUGUGCGAUUACUACAGCCUCUUAGAUAUUUAAAAUCGUAUGUUGCAAAAGACCAGUCCUACCCAUUUGCUGGGUGAGCGGGUGUUGGUACCACAAGCCAUCCUCAUACUUAAGCACAGUGGAUUGGAACGUACGGCAAAUAAACAGCGUUUUUUCCUGGCUCAGUGAGGGUAACGGCUGCUUUUGAAGAAUUAUUGCAGGUGUUUCUAGGCGAUGAAUAAAGUUACUGAGGUCGUGCAGGUGGAGCAUCUAGGCAUGGAAUUUAGAAAUUUCAAGAACUCGAAAAUUUUCCUUCCACCCCCUCCAGCUCACACAGUGAACGUGAUUAAGCGCUUCACGGGGUGGGACCCUGCGGAGGCCACCGAGGUGGGCGACACGGCUCCCCUCCCAGACCCCAUGUGGUCGGGAAACUGCACUGAAGGGCUCUGGCCGCACUGCAGAGGGUCUCACGGUGUCCAGCGGGCCAGCUCCCAGGGGACCUAACGGAAAGAAGAAUGGACGGAUGAAAAUCCGAAAGUCCCCAGGCCGUCCUCUCCCCACAGCCCGUCUGGAGGCACCCCAGAGGCCGACUGACUCUUUGCCUCUAAAUAUUUCAUCUGUGUGGCAACGGGACAGACUCAGGUGAGAAAACUGGAGUCAGUGUCACAGGGCCAACUUGGGCAGCCCUUUGGCGAGGCCACCUGCUUGAGCAGCCGGACGAUGGUAGUUAGGGAGGUCAGACGCCUCAUCUAAGCCCUCGCUUGGCCGCUUAUGGUCUGCCCUCCCGAGCCAAGUGUGGCAGAAUUCCACUUUCCUUGUCCACAUGAUGCAUAGAUAAUAGUUGUCUUACUUUCUAUCAUAGGAUGAUGCUGAGGGGCCAGGAAAAAAAAAAAAAGAUAACUGUGAUUUAAAGAAAAAGAGGAUUCUUUUAAAAUAAUAAAGAAAUAUUUGUCGUGAUCACGUUUCUCAGUAUCCUCUCGAUCGCCCUGGACUUUAUAGACUUCCCGAGGAGGAGACUGCAGGAGGAAGCUGGAUCAGACGUCACUGGACCCUUGUCCCGUGACCCGUCACCCUCCCAGCCACCCUCAGCCUGUGAACCAAGGUGAACUAUGACCUCGGCAUGUACACAGCCAGGUGUCGAGGCUGAGAGCCGCCAGUGUAUGUGGACAGGGAGAUGAGCUCAUUACAACAGAAGAGGUCCUAUUAUUUAGCCCUCAUUCCUAUACUGGAGACUUGAGCUGCCAUUUAUCCUUCAGGGAUACAGGACACUCGGCGUUAUACGCCCACGAGAGCCUUGGGGAAGUGUUGACUCAAUCGCCUCUCUGAGUAAUGAGCUCCCUGCCUUUGCCUGAAGGGUCCCCAUUGGUGCAGGCUGCCUGUUGUCCCUGGCAGACAGGACGAGGUGGGCCAAGCAAGCCAAUUAAUAUUCCGCCAAAUCCUUGUUCGGUGUGGUGUGUUUAUCAUAUUGGUCUACCCUUCCGAAGCCAAGAGCAAAUUAAGUGAGCACUGGCUCGUGUUACCUUGAAAAUGCCGUACAGAUAAAAAUCCAGUUGUCACCUUCUGAGUAGUUGGAAGAUUAAUUGGAAAUGCUAUCCAUUCGGCGUUCAGUUUCCUGUGUCCAACUGAUGUUUGCGGGAAAUUGCAGCCUCUGUCCAGCGUGGCAGUGUUUAUCAGGUGUCUCCGUGUUCGAAAACGACCUCAUUAACAAUUUUGCUGGUGCUUUUUUCUCCUUCUAAAAAUAGUGUCGACAAAUUGGCACCAACUCCUGAAUAUCUGCUUCCAUCCUGUUUCAGCAGCCAACUCAUGGAUUGCCAGUUUAUGACGUGCCCGUCUCAACAUAAAAACGCCUCUUCUGCCAGAUGCAAGAGGGAUCAACCUACAGCUCGAAGCAGGACAAGAGUUCUUGAGGUGCUGAGCGCUGUAAAAGUGCAAGCCCAUGUUCUAGGCAGAAAAACUGAGAGUUUUGCGUAGUUUGGUUUUUGUUUUUUUACCUUCCCUCCGCCAUAUUUUCUUUCAAGGACUUUGUUUUUGUUUUGGCCACACCCGGGGCGUGUGGAAAUUCCCGGGCCAGGUAUCAAACACACACCCCAGCAGCGACAACACCAGAUCCUUAACCCACUGAGCCACGGGGGGAAUCCUUCUUUCAAGGACUUGGAAAAUUGGCUGUCUUCAUGUUCAAUGCUGGAGCCACCGGAGACUUGGGUUUCAGAGAAGUCAGGGCAGGAAGUAGCUUCCGGCUCCACCGUCCACAGCAUCCCGGUGACAAGGAGGAGGGCAUGGGGGCAAAGGAGGCUUUCACAUCCCGCUGGGACGGGUCUGGUGCCCAGCCCGGUGCCCCCAUCGGCCGGCUCUGCUCUCAAGGCACAGAAUGCACCUGCCCCUUCUGCAGAGACCAUGGCCAGGGAACUGAAGACACCAUUGGGAGAAGCCCAUGCUCUUUGGCUCCCCAUUUAUUGAAGAAGUUUGUCAGUGAGGGAUACUUGACCCAUUGUCCCAUUUCUGCUGCCAUUCCUGUUUUUGUGUUUCUUUCGCACUUGCUGGAAUUUGCCCAGCCCUGGCACCCACGGCUGCAGGCUGCUCUUUGUGGGUCUCCAUGCUGCUCCCUUGCACCCUCACAUGUGCAUACUCACACCCUCCCACAUCUGCACACACACCCCUGCUCUCUCUGGCUAAUUGCUUCUUCUCUCUCAAAGUCACAACUCAGGGUGAAGGACUGACUCAGCCACACGUCUACACUGAAGGCUGUUCCCGUACUUAGAGGAUAUUUCUUAGCUAAAGCGAUGGAUGCAGAUGGGCAAAGCUGCAGGCAGGACCCCAUGGCCUGAGAAGUCACAGGGCCCCGGGAGAGAAGGCGCACAGUGGGUGGGCGUGGUGCCAUGGCUUUCAAGGAUUUUGGUUGAUCUGGGAUAACCAGGCAUUGACGUCACUGCAAAGCCAGCCCAGCAGAGAGAUCGGAGGGCCACUUAGAGGCCUGGGCUGGUUCCACCAC
rnacentral:lncRNA from 1 species